rnacentral:rRNA from 1 species
UACAGAGGUCUCAACCGUUGUUCGGAAUUACUGGGCGUAAAGCGCACGUAGGCGGAUCUUUAAGUCAGAGGUGAAAUCCCAAGGCUCAACCUUGGAACUGCCUUUGAUACUGGGGAUCUUGAGUCCGGGAGAGGUGAGUGGAACUGCGAGUGUAGAGGUGAAAUUCGUAGAUAUUCGCAAGAACACCAGUGGCGAAGGCGGCUCACUGGCCCGGUACUGACGCUGAGGUGCGAAAGCGUGGGGAGCAAACAGG